CCUUUUCACAGGCAGCGGCUCCGACAGCGUCACAAGCGCUGCACUUCUGUCUCCAGUCCCCCCCUCCCCCGAUUAUGACUGGCCGGCAGAGAAGCAGAGGACGGAUCUUCAUGUGAUGUCAGGGAAAAAGAAAGCUAUAGUUAGUGUGCUGCCUGCAGUACUGCCAGGAGCCACUAGAUGCCCCCAUCUACAGUGACUGAGCCACCUCACCUGCCAGAGCUUGGAUCUACUGUACUGUGAAUGCUGACCCCGGACUGGCAGAUGAUAGGGGUCAAAAUAGAGAACUCAGCACAAAUAAAGAGACUGGGAAGAGUACUGAGGUGGUUCCAAAGAAACCACCGUGGAGCUCUGAAAAAUCUCAUGGAAUCCCAGCCUGUGGUCCUACAGAUGAGUUCUUCUUCUGCAAACCCCCCUCCACUAAGGCGCCCAUUACAGGGCUCGGUGACUGUGCCUAGGAGGCCAACCAAGAGACGUCGUCUUGAGGCUGAAUCUGCUGCUCCAUCAUCACCAACCCAACGGCGCAUCUCCGCAGUGUUGUCCCUGCUACCACAAGCAAUUUUGGCGAGUCCACAAAGCGAGGAUCCACAAUCACCUCAGCUGUCUGAACCACCCAUCAUGGACUAGGACGCACAGCAGGAAAGUGACCAGCAGCCUACCUACACACUACACCUGCAGCCCAUCGAUCCUCCCCAGCCAACCACGCAGCAAGACAUAACACAAUCACCCGAAACAUCCCAUAGCCCCCAAUUGAGGCCAACACCACCCCAGCAACAAAUGGCCCCUGAGUUUUGGAGCAGUUGGGCCACACAACAGGCACAACACUAUGCCUGCCUGAACACCCACACCCAAUACCUUGCCAGUCUGCCCCAUCAUCUUCCUCGCCUCAGUCGGAACUCAGGCAGACUGAUAGUUCAGGUUGGCAGAAUUGCCAAUUCAAUGGAGCAGAUGAGGGCAGACAACAGUCAAAUGCAAGCCAAUUUACUCAGAAUCAUGGAUGAACAACAGCGGCAGCAACAAGCCCUCAUACAAAUAAUAAAACACAACCAACUGGUGAACGAAAACCUCUCCAGAAUUAUUGCCAGCAACACUGCCACAAAUACCCAACUGACUGCAAGCAUACACAACCUCAGCCAAAGCAUUAAUGUGUUGGCAUCCCAACAAAUCAGCUCAAGCUCCGGAACUACAACACCAAGCCAGACCCCAGUUACCUCCCCUGUUAGACGCUCCAGCAGAACACGGACCAACGAACCAGGUCAAUCCUCUGCACCCAGCACACAAAAAAAUAAAAAAUGAAGGAUGCAUCAAAUGGUUGUUAAAAAAUAAAGUUUUUGGAAU